rnacentral:rRNA from 1 species
UACGUAGGGUGCGAGCGUUAAUCGGAAUUACUGGGCGUAAAGCGUGCGCAGGCGGCUUCGCAAGUCAGACGUGAAAUCCCCGGGCUUAACUUGGGAAUGGCGUUUGAAACUACGGAGCUGGAGUGUGGCAGAGGGAGGUAGAAUUCCACGUGUAGCGGUGAAAUGCGUAGAUAUGUGGAGGAAUACCGAUGGCGAAGGCAGCCUCCUGGGCCAACACUGACGCUCAUGCACGAAAGCGUGGGGAGCAAACAGG